rnacentral:rRNA from 1 species
UACGUAGGGUGCAAGCGUUAUCCGGAAUUAUUGGGCGUAAAGAGCUCGUAGGCGGUUUGUCGCGUCUGCUGUGAAAACUGGAGGCUCAACCUCCAGCCUGCAGUGGAUACUGGCUCGCUAGAGUGCGGUAGAGGAGAGUGGAAUUCCCGGUGUAGCAGUGAAAUGCGUAGAGAUCGGGAGGAACAUCAGUUGCGAAGGCGGCUCUCUGGACCAGCACUGACACUGAGGCACGAAAGCGUGGGGAGCAAACAGG